UAAAGAGGCUGAGGAAAGUGAGAGCCCAAAUUGUGAUCGAUUCGUUUYAUAUAAUAAUCAUUAUAUCGUUCGUUCUCGUUAAAUAAAAAGUCACAGUAUCGUAAAAAAAUCAUGGAGUUGCUGGAGAAGGCUUCAACUUUAAAGAUUCGUUUAACGAUGGUGUUUUAAAUGAAAUCUUUACUUCACACAAAAUUUUUAAAAAGCUCUAUUCUUGAUCCCAAUAGUCAAGUUGAAUACCCGAAAGCUCACUCAUUACAAUACUUGCAAAGUUCCAGCCAUGAGCUAUUAUAUCUACGAAAGCUUGAAUAAAGCAUACACAUAUGUACAUAGGAAAUAUGUUAUAUACCUCAAGCGCAUGCUAUUAUUGCAGUU